GUGAGGAAUAUUGGUCAAUGGGCGGGAGCCUGAACCAGCCAAGUCGCGUGAAGGAAGAAGGAUCUAUGGUUCGUAAACUUCUUUUGCAGGGGAAUAAAGUGCAGGACGUGUCCUGUUUUGUAUGUACCCUGAGAAUAAGGAUCGGCUAACUCCGUGCCAGCAGCCGCGGUAAUACGGAGGAUCCGAGCGUUAUCCGGAUUUAUUGGGUUUAAAGGGUGCGUAGGUGGUUUGAUAAGUCAGCGGUGAAAGUUUGCAGCUUAACUGUAAAAAUGCCGUUGAAACUGUCGGACUUGAGUGUAAAUGAGGUAGGCGGAAUGCGUGGUGUAGCGGUGAAAUGUAUAGAUAUCACGCAGAACUCCGAUUGCGAAGGCAGCUUACUAAGCUACAACUGACACUGAAGCACGAAAGCGUGGGGAUCAAACAGGAUUAGAUACCCGUGUAGUCC
rnacentral:rRNA from 1 species